GAGAGAGUAGUGUUGGAAAUCUAAAAGUUUGCAAACAUCAUUGUCAAUAAAUACACUUUCACCGAAGCAGAGAGUUUGAGAAAAGAAUUUUGGCACGAGCAAUUAUAUUUUGUUCUUUAAUUCAUUUUAUUUAGCAAGGUAAGGUAAUUUAUGCGCAAGCAUUUUCAUUUUCUUAUACUUUUAUAUUCAAUUAAAUAUGCAUGAAUUGCAAGUGGACCUUUGAAUUCUUUAAAAAGAGAGAUGAAAUCUUACGGGAUUAUAAGUGAACCUAAAAUGGUCGUGUCGCUUGGUCACCGAUAUACUUCAUAAGAGCAUAGUGGUAUGAAGUGUGGGGUUUAUUUAUUAUAUAAUUGUGUAUGAAAAUUGCACAUAUCUUACUGGGUGUUUUUGAAUACUCAUUCUUAUAAAUUUUCUCUCAGGUUAGUCCGGGUCGAUUGAAACUGUGGCGAAUUGGUGAUGUGGACUGCCAAAGGGGUCCAAGGAAAAGGAAAAUAAACAUUUACCCCAUUUGGCCCCCAUUUUCCUUCUCAUUCUUUUUCUCUCUCUUAUUUUCAACCACACAAUCUUCCAUAAAAUAAUAUUAUAUGCAAAUCAAAAACUUUUCAUUCUUUUUCAACCACACAUUUUUUUAAAAAACGAUAUUCCAACCAUUAAAAUUUGGAAAGAAUAGGGGCCAAACUCUGGCUUCAUAUUUCUUUUUACGUCUCUAAAUUAUUUGUUAUUUUUAUUUGUUCAAAGACUCGUUUGUUUAUUUUAAAUUGAUAUUUAUGUUUGAAAAUAAAGAAUUUCUUUUUAUGUAAGUUGUUUCGCAUUUAUUAAAGAGAAAAUUGUGUUUUUCUUAAAGCUUUAGCGUUUAUAAAAAAAAAUUUGGGCGUUACAGUGUAGUAUUAGAGUCCGGUUCUACUUUUCCAUAGAAAUUAAAAAAAAAAAAAUAUGUGAACAGUAAACGUCACUGUUCACAUGAACAGUGAUAAAAAGAAAAAGGUAUUUUUUAAAAAAAAAUGGUUUCUUGGUUUCUUUUAUUCUGAAGAAUAAAUGUUUGUUUAGAAUGAUUUUGAAUAACAGUAGUUUAGAAUUUAAAUUGUUAUGGUUUAAUGUCCAUAGUUUAAGUUUCACAUGUGAUAAAUUUUUAUGUGUUUAACUUUAGCCCUUGGUUAUGUUUUAAAAAUGUACCAAUUUGAAAAUUUACAUUUUAAGAGAUUUCACGUUUGACUUAUUGUUUGAGUUUUAUUUAUUUGCAUAAUUGUAAAAUUGAAAGGGUUUGUUAAAAGACCUAAAUUGUCUAAGAAGAGUUUGGGAUUUAAGUGGUCCACCUGUAACCCCCUCCUCAUCCGGAAGCCUUUUAAAUGUGCGUUAUUCAAAUCGACAAGGCAGAAAACAAUAUUUCAAACAUUCUAAUUUUAAAAAAAUGUUAUAAGAAUACUUGGCAUGUGGCGCUUACUAUUCGAUCACUCUCCAGAAAUUAACCCAUUUUAAAUUUGAUAGGAUGGCUACCACAAAUUUAUUGGAUGGGGAUGGCAAUUCUUUCAUCGAAUUAGAGAGUUUGAGAAAAGUGUGCAUACAUCAUUGUCAAUCAAUAAACUUUCACAGAAGCAGAGAGUUUGAAAAAGGAAUUUUGCCACGAGCAAUUAUAUUUCAUUCAUUAAUUCAUUUUAUUUAGCAGGGCAAGAUACUUUAUGUGCAAGUAUUUUCAUUUCCUUAUGCUUUUAUAUUCAAUUAAAUAUGCAUGGAUUGCAAGUGGAACAUCGGGUCCUUUAAAAAGAGAGAUGAAAUCCUACGAGAUUAUAAGAGGACCUAAUAUGGAUGUCUCGUUUGGUUGCCAAUAUGCUCUAUAAGAGUAGAUUGGUAUGAAGUGUAUAUUUUAUUUGUUAUAUAAUUGUGUAUCAAAACUGUACGUGUCUUACUCGGUGUUUUUGAAUGCUCACUCUUACAAUUUAUUUCUCAAGUUAGUCCGGUCGAUUGGAACUAUGGCGAAUUGGUGAUGCAGACUACCAAGGGGAUCCAAGGAAAAGGAAAAUAAUCAUAUAGUUUUCCUUUUUAUGUCUCUAAAUUAUUUGUUAGUUUUGUUUGUUAAAAGACU
rnacentral:lncRNA from 1 species